CCUACGGGAGGCAGCAGUGGGGGAUAUUGCACAAUGGGGGGAACCCUGAUGCAGCGACGCCGCGUGGGGGAAGAAGCGCCUCGGCGCGUAAAGCCCUGUCAGCAGGGAAGAAAAUGACGGUACCUGAAGAAGAAGCCCCGGCUAACUACGGGCCAGCAGCCGCGGUAAUACGUAGGGGGCAAGCGUUAUCCGGAUUGACUGGGUGUAAAGGGGGAGCAGACGGCGAUGCAAGCCAGGAGUGAAAGCCCGGGGCCCAACCCCGGGACUGCUCUUGGAACUGCGUGGCUGGAGUGCAGGAGGGGCAGGCGGAAUUCCUGGUGUAGCGGUGAAAUGCGUAGAUAUCAGGAGGAACACCGGUGGCGAAGGCGGCCUGCUGGACUGCAACUGACGUUGAGGCCCGAAAGCGUGGGGAGCGAACAGGAUUAGAUACCCCAGUAGUC
rnacentral:rRNA from 1 species